GCAGUUUCUCUCCAGCUACUGAGGGGGACAGACACUAUGUCUCCCUCCAAGAAAAGAUUCAUCACUAUCUGUGAGUAAGAAGGAUGGAGUGGCCCCCUUGGCCGCGAUGGACACUGCAGCUCACAAAGAUGCCAUCUCAGAGGCACUGACAUGCCACCCUGGGAGCCACGCUGACCCACACUGCUGGAGAACACAGGAGUCCAGGACAGUGGGAAAACCAGGACGAGGACUGAACAAGCAAAGGGGCCUGAGGCCUCGUCUACUGACAGACUUUGGUCAAUGCAAGUUACGCCAGCCUACAGCUGCCGAAAUUCACCACUUGUAUGCGUGCACACUUGGUUGCAUGCAUCAGUGCGAUACAUCCUCACAGGGGUUGUUGUGCUGCACUAUGGGGAGGUAUCCCAGUGUGCCAUGUAAAAUCCCAUUUAAAAUGUUAACUGGUUAAAGUGUGUGUGAGAGAGUGUGUGAGUGAGUGAGUGAGAGAAUAAAUAAAAAACUGGUUAACCAUGUCACGGGCUGGGAACUGCUCCAGCCAGGCUGGGCUUGCCCGCCACACCGUAUUGCAGGGCUACUCCAGCUGGGCAGGACUCG